rnacentral:rRNA from 1 species
GACGUAGGGCGCGAGCGUUGUCCGGAUUUAUUGGGCGUAAAGAGCUCGUAGGCGGCCUGUUGCGUCCGCUGUGAAAUCCCGGGGCUUAACCCCGGGCGUGCAGUGGAUACGGGCAGGCUGGAGGCAGGCAGGGGAGAACGGAAUUCCCGGUGUAGCGGUGAAAUGCGCAGAUAUCGGGAGGAACACCGGUGGCGAAGGCGGUUCUCUGGGCCUGUACUGACGCUGAGGAGCGAAAGCGUGGGGAGCGAACAGG